rnacentral:rRNA from 1 species
UGAGGAAUAUUGGUCAAUGGGGGCAACCCUGAACCAGCCAAGUCGCGUGAAGGAUGAAGGUCUUAUGGAUUGUAAACUUCUUUUACACGGGAAUAAAGCGGGGGACGUGUCCCUCUUUGCAUGUACCGUGUGAAUAAGGAUCGGCUAACUCCGUGCCAGCAGCCGCGGUAAUACGGAGGAUCCGAGCGUUAUCCGGAUUUACUGGGUUUAAAGGGUGCGUAGGUGGGCUUAUAAGUCAGUGGUGAAAUCUCCGAGCUUAACUUGGAAACUGCCGUUGAUACUAUAGGUCUUGAAUUAUCUGGAGGUAAGCGGAAUAUGUCAUGUAGCGGUGAAAUGCUUAGAUAUGACAUAGAACACCAAUUGCGAAGGCAGCUUACUACAUAUAAAUUGACGCUGAGGCACGAAAGCGUGGGGAUCAAACA